CGCUUGGCUCCUCUGUGAAGUCGGCAGAAAGGACGGCUCACCGAGGGGGACAGAUGGUCAGUGAAAGCAAGAGUCAGACCGUCAAGCUCAUCGCCCAAGCCUUGCCCCCGCCUGGAUCCCGAGCCGUUACGGGAGAACUGUCACACAGAAGAUUCCAGAGGUGACUUGAAAUCUUCGGUUCCUUGCAAUGGGUAGCACAGAUGGCUGUUUAAGGAACCACAUGAAAGAGCCACCGUGAAAGGAUGGAAUGCACAGAAUUCAAAUGUGGGAAUACGAUGCAACCGAAAAUGUCUUAAGACACCAGGAAAAUAUUACACUGUGAUUGUUAAGUGGAAAGAGCAAAGUUUCAGAAGAAUAAAUGACGUAAAAUUUAUGUAAAAUUAUUAACAUAAUGUAUGUUUUUUUAACAUAAUGUAUGUAUGUUUUUAUGUAUGUUUACAUAAAAUGUAUGUAAAAUUAUUAACAUAAUGUAUCACACGGUCAGUACUUAAAGUAUGUAAGUCAUUAUCACUCUUACCUCUCCUUGGAGCCCAGAUCCAAAACCAUUCCCCUUAUCUGAUUGUCCAGACGGAGAUAAUCCCUCCUUACAGCUCCGUAUAGCCAGCCCGACUUUAGCAUGUACGACUAUAUACCUUGGAUUAUUUUCAUUUAUGGUAUGUUUUAAAUGUCACCUGAUAAUAAAUAUUCCUCCUUCUCGUUUUGCUUCA